UGGGGAAUAUUGGACAAUGGGCGCAAGCCUGAUCCAGCCAUGCCGCGUGAGUGACGAAGGUCUUCGGAUUGUAAAGCUCUUUCGUCGGGGACGAUAAUGACGGUACCCGAAGAAGAAGCUCCGGCUAACUUCGUGCCAGCAGCCGCGGUAAUACGAAGGGAGCUAGCGUUGUUCGGAAUCACUGGGCGUAAAGCGCACGUAGGCGGAUAGUUAAGUCAGGGGUGAAAUCCUGGGGCUCAACCCCAGAACUGCCUUUGAUACUGGCUGUCUCGAGGUCGAGAGAGGUUGGUGGAAUUCCUAGUGUAGAGGUGAAAUUCGUAGAUAUUAGGAAGAACACCAGUGGCGAAGGCGGCCAACUGGCUCGAUACUGACGCUGAGGUGCGAAAGCGUGGGGAGCAAACAGGAUUAGAUACCCAAGUAGUCCCUGAGCGGGCUGGCAAGGCGCAU
rnacentral:rRNA from 1 species